UGAACGCUGGCGGCAUGCUUUACACAUGCAAGUCGAACGGUAACAGGCCGCAAGGUGCUGACGAGUGGCGAACGGGUGAGUAAUGCAUCGGAACGUGCCCAGUCGUGGGGGAUAACUACUCGAAGAGUAGCUAAUACCGCAUACGAACUAUGGAUGAAAGCGGGGGACCGUAAAGCCUCGCGCGAUUGGAGCGGGCGAUGUCAGAUUAGGUAGUUGGUGGGGUAAAGGCUCACCAAGCCAACGAUCUGUAGCUGGUCUGAGAGGACGACCAGCCACACUGGGACUGAGACACGGCCCAGACUCCUACGGGAGGCAGCAGUGGGGAAUUUUGGACAAAGGGCGCAAGCCUGAUCCAGCAAUGCCGCGUGCAGGAAGAAGGCCUUCGGGUUGUAAACUGCUUUUGUACGGAACGAAACGGCUCUGGUUAAUACCCGGGGCUAAUGACGGUACCGUAAGAAUAAGCACCGGCUAACUACGUG
rnacentral:rRNA from 1 species